GGAAAGUAGGCUCUAAUUUUGCAUUCACCUAUCUACAUGAAUGAAAUAGGUCAAGGUCUGUUUUUCCCAUUUAGAUUUUUAGAUUUCUAAUUUGUUGAUGUCAAAGUUGAAGAGAGUUACAUCUUCAAAUGAGGCUCAAUGUAUCUAAUUAAUUAAAAAUUGUUACAGGCUUUGUUUGUGUUUAAUGUAGGUAAAUAUUACUUUGUUAUGCUGCUAAGUCAUGACUGCUACCAUUUUUCCUUUUCUUGAUUCCAGUUUAUGUUUGGUGCAAUUGCUUAAUGUAGGUAAGGUAGUCGUGACUACUACUUUUCUUUAUUCCAACUUAUUUCAGUUUAUGUUUACUCGUUCUGUAAAGGUAAAGGUAUAGGUAUGGUGAUUUCCUAAGAUUAGUAACACAUACCUGUGAUCCAUGGGUGCAUUGAUUCAUGUUUAAUUGAUACAGUGAUUUUGAUAUAUGGAUGUUGUGUAAUAAUUUUUAAUCAGGACAUUCUUAUUUUAGCAAAGUGAGAAAAUAAUUAAUAGUUAAAAAAACAUAAAUUUUAAUACAUCAACAUACUAAAAAAAAAAAAUCUUCAAUGCAUUGAAAUUUGUGUUUGUUUGUAUUCCAGUGGCAUUCUCAUUUUGUUAAAGUGAAGAUUCCCUCAUUAAAGAGUGGCUUUGAUAUUGCAUAAAUUAACAAGUGUACCAAUGAGCACAAGUGUUAAAAUAAUGAGUUAAGUAUCAUCUCACAAAAAUUGCUUAUCUUAUUAGUUAUUGAAAUUAUUAUGACUCAAAUUUAUUUGAAUAAUCAAUUUAAAAAAUUGAAAUAAAAAAUUAAAAAAUAUAUAUAACAACUAAAAAUUAAAUGAAGAUGCAAACAAUAAUAAAAUUCUCCAAAAGAUUAUGAUAGUAGGACAUUCGACUUUACCAUAACCAAUCCAAUUUUUAUCCUCUGUUUAUGUUAUUAAAUGCCCUCACAUAUUAACCCACUAAAUCUAUAUGUAAAUUUAAAAAUGUCUCUAUGGAAAUUCUUAAAUAAAAUUGCACGAAUCGAGUUAGUAUAUCUCUGUCUCCCAUGUAAUUCAUAGAAUCCAUUACACGGAGUAAAAAUACAUAAUUCACCUUUGGUCUUAUUAUGCAAUAUGUACCCUCAAAUUAUUCAAAUAUUGGCUAGAUAUUUAAAAAUAUUAAGCACAAAUCAUGGAAUAAUGAACUAACAAAAUGAUAAAUUUAGGAAAUUAAGUCAUGAGAAUAUAAAGAGAAUCUAUAAAUAUAGUUGGUAACAUUCAGGCUAAAAGAAAAAAAAAAAAAAGACACUCGGUUGUGCCUUCAAUCAGUUUUUCUUACUCUCGAAUUCUCUUGUGUGGGUGGUCUAAUUCUCUUCAAUUAUGUGUGCAGCUAACUUCUUCAAUCUUUGUAGCCUUUUAAAAUGCUUAGCCCCUGCUUCUUCUUGUCCUAAUUGGAUUCAAAUCGCAAGCCAUGCACACAUCGACUUUUAGCUUAAGCAAUUCACACGCAUGCUUGCUACUUUUAUCUUUAACUUAAUAAUUCAGUUCUCCACUUCUUUGUCUUCACAAGCUAGCCACUAAUUUUAACUUAUUCCCUUUUAAUUUUUCAUAUAUUCCUUUCCCUCUCCAAUUCCUUCAAGUAUAUUAUUCCCGAAUGCUUCGAUGUAAUUCCUCAUUUUAGCUUUUUUACUAGAAUGUACCCUAUUUAUGCCUACAUUAACAAAAUAAUAAAAAUUAGAUAAAUACUUUUGUAUUAACUAGAUUCUGUGGUAAUUUGCAAAUCUAGCUAAACACAAUAAAUUUAUAAGCAACAAAAUUUAGUGCCUAGCGUAAUCGAGGUGCAUUGUUGUUUGGACCUUGUAUGAAGCUUAAUGAAGAACAAUUGUAUGGGUUUGUUGGAGAGAGUAUAGGUCUAGAGAGAGGAAAUUUUGGAAGCUUAUUUUUCCUACAAAAAUAGAGAAAAUAGGUUAGAGGUGGAGCCAGCAACAACUAGCAACCACACUCUGACACUCAAGUUAGUUUUAGGCUAAUUUUGAGUGUCAAGAGUUUACCAACCCUCAACAAUGGAGUGAGCACAAGGUUGAAGACGAAUCUUGACCUCUUUUAUUUUUGUGUGUUUGCUGCCUAGUUAGAAAGAUGUAGAGCUUGAUUUGUAUUAACCCUUAAGAGAAAAAAAACCUCUGCCUAGGAUCUUAAUCCAAGAUCAGCACAAGUUGAUUCGAAAAUUAAUCUAAUUAUACCAAGAUCAAACUAAACUAAUUUGAACAAUCAAGAACUCAAUUAGAAUUAAAAUGAAAAUAGAAUACAAAUAAAAAACACAACAAGAACACAAGAUUAUGUGGUUCAACCUUUUUCAAGAUCUACAUCCACGGGUAAAACGUCAAAGCUAGCUUUAUUGAUUGAUUCAAAGAGAUUACAAGAACUUAAGUAAAGAUUAUAGAGCUUAAAAACAAGCCUUUUCUCUCUCAAGUCUCUCACUAGAAUCCUCCAGAAUUGUCACUAAAUAAGCUUGAUAACAUAGUUUUAUAUAACAAUAGCUCAAUAAGACCUCACUAAGGGUGUGUUUGGAAGUAAGGUUUGGUAGCUAUAGCUUAAAAGUCACAACACUAAAGUGUUUGGUAAACACUAAUUGCUAUAACUUGAAAGUUAUAUUAAUAUGAUUUUUCACUUGUAUAAUAAAAAAUCUUUUAGAUCUUUAAUAAUUUUAUCAAAAUUAUUAUUUAAAAUUUAUAUUCACUAUAAAUUAUUAAUUUUUUUCAUAAUUACAACUUUUUUUUUUCACAGUAACCGUAACUUAAAAACUACAGUACCUCAAUUCCAAACAGACCCUUAAGCUAUUAUGUGCCAAGUCACAUGAUAAGCAAGAAUAUGUUAUAACCAAAAUGGCUGGAUCAAUUGUCGUUUUGAGUUUAAGUAAUCAUGCUUACAUCACGUGGCUUCCGUAGGCACGGUAGUUUAUUGUUGACCUCAAGAGUACUCGGUGUAAGUCAACCUCAUUUUGACAACUCUCUUAUUUCUAACCUUCAUCAACACGUGGCAUUCUCCUAUUGCCCUCUCAUUUUCCCCAAACAACUUAUAAGACAAAAAUAAAUAAGCAUAAAUAAAGUGACAAGCAUUAAAACAAUGUAUACGAGUUGUAAGCAUAUGAUAUUAGCGAAUGAUGCUAACGUGGCUGGAUUUUGUUGCUUGUUCUCAUACCCCGAAUUGUCUAAAGUAUUUAGUGUUUACUUAGAAAUCUGGAGUACUUGAUAGUAUUCGCCUGCAUUAUUGAGGAAAUAUGAUGUGAUUUAGUCUUAAGAUUGAAUCCCUAUCACCAAUCUCAUUGGAAAGUAAAUAAUUUUUCUUCUAUUUUAUAUUUUUGUUGGUUUGAGUGAUUCUAAGUAAAAGUUUAGUGAUUGCACUGCUCGCAUUCUUAUUUCUUAUUAUGGGCAUUGUUUCUCCUUUUCAGAUUUGGUGCCAUUUUAAAUAUUUUCCAGCUCCUGCUUGAGUAUUGCGGAGAGUGUUUGUUGAAUAUUAAGGUUAUUCUUUGUGCACAUUAGUAAAGUUUCUAGAAAUGAGUUUCAAAUCACCUGUAUGGAACAGGUACUCCACCUUUACGUUCCUAUUAAUUGUUCAAGUGUUCUUUUCUUCAUGGUAUUUACAAUUUUUUGGGAAUAUUUAAAACCUAAAAAUUUCCUUUACUAAAAAUUAAGUUAUCAUUUACUGGCAGGCAACUUAGAGGUUAAAAUCAUAUCGUCAAGAGUGUGGUAGUUAAUUGUUUUCUUCAAUCUUGAUUGAUAAUAAUUGUUUUGUUGCUUUUGCUUUUAAGAUUUUAUUUUGAUCAUGUCCAAUACUUAUAGCCCAUUUGAGAGUGUGGUGAGGUAGCUGAGCUGCCAAAGCCCAACUACUAAAGUGUUUGGUAACACUUGUAGCUAGGCUUUGGCAGCUUAGCAAAUUUUUUUCCCAACUUCUACUCCACAACUGUACCUUUUACUCCAUAGUAGCUGCACCUUAAAAGCUACAACACCUUACUCGCAAACACACCCUUAAUUACUUAAAAAAAGCCGAAUGGUUUCUUGAUAUGAGUUGUCUACCUAGCUGUCUAAGAUACUGCUAUAGAAAGCCGUUCAUUUUAAUUAGGUAAUCUUCAUAAUUUGUGGAGAAUAAUGCUUUUUUUUUUUUAAGUUUGCAAUUUGUUUUUGAUAGUUUAUUUUAUCUUUUGAUUUUUUUUCCCAUGGAUUUUGCUCUACACACACACACACACACACACAUACAUACAUACAUACAUACAAGGAAUAACAAAAUUCUACUAGUAUAAGGAUUAAUCAAUAUUUUUUUAACCCUAUUCUAAAAGGUACUUACUAUAUACAUUGGAGAAAGCUAUUAAGCCAUAUGGCUUAAUAGCGUUUUGUCAUUAUACUAUUAAACUGGCUUAAUAGCUUUUCCAUACUUUAAUAAAGUCAUUAGUACUCUAUGUGUGUGUGUGUGUGUAAAGCCCAGGAAAGCUAUUAAGUCGUAUGAUUUAAUUGUAAUAGUUGGAGCCCAACGAUCCAAUAUCUAUUGUCUACUUUAGGCACACUACGAUUUUGUAUUAGGUUUGGCAAUCACAAUGCAUCUACUUAGUUAGGAGAGCCCAAGGCAUAUAAGAUAGUCCAAGAAUUCACUCACCAGCUUAUAAGUUAGUCCAAAAAUUCACUCAUUAUUGAUGAGGGAUAUUAAAUCAACAGUGUAAUGACAUUAUAAUAGUUUUUCCAAACUAUAAUGAAGUCUCGGAUUGUGGACUAAAUCAAUAUUACAUAUCCAAUAAAGCAAUUAAGUCAUUGGACUAUCAAAUCAUAUGAUUUUGAUAGCUUUCUUGAUCAUUACACUAUUAAAAAAUAUGGCCUAAUAGCUUUCUUGAACUUUAACAAAUCUAGGAUUCUAAAUUAGAGCUAUAUAUAUAUAUAUAUAUAUAUAUAUAUAUAUAUAUAGAGAGAGAGAGAGAGAGAGAGAGAGAGAGAGAGAGAGAGAGAAUCAUUCUCUAAUGAGGAUAUCCUUAAAGAAAUUUGAUAUAUUAGAGAUUGUGUUUUUUGUCUGUUAGCGUAUUAAAAUAUAUGUUUUUAUUAAUUAAUGGUAUCCGUACUUUGUUGUGUGUGUAUAGUUUAUUCUUAACUUUAAUAUGGUUAGAGAUUCCUGAUUGAGACAUUUCUUUCUCUAAAUGAGUUUUCAAUUAGAGAUUUUUAACCAUAUUAAAGUUAUGAAUAAAUUAAAAAAAAACACAAAUUUCAAUAGACUAAAGGAUUAAAUGUUCUACAUUGAAAUUUGUGUUUUCUUUAUCUUUUAGUUUACUGAUAAUUUUAAUAUGACUCUUUAUAUGUAUGUAUGUAUGUAUAUAUAUAGACAAUCAAUCAGGUUCCAAUGAGGGUUCCUGCACUUUGCUCAUGAAGUGUAGGAACAUUAUUAACUUAUAUGGUGUGAGCCAGUGCUUAUGGAUGGAAAAGCUAGGUUGUUUCUUCUAUUAACUUGUCGUUUUUCUUCGUGAUCCUCUUGUUGAGAUGCUAAAAAAUGUGGUGGAGGUUGCAGCACCAAGUCAAACCCCAUUCACUACAAUCUGUGCCUGCCAUUGCCAAAGCUUCUAUUGAAACCGGCAUGAUUUUGUUUAAUCAAGCAAUGAUACUCAAAUUAGCUGUACAAACAUAAUUGAUUCUUAGAGAAUUUCUGUCACUCUCGAUGUAGAUAAUUAGAUAAAUAGCACCCAGAAUAAUAUGAUUUUUAGAGUAUUAUCAAAAGAUUUUACUCUAUA
rnacentral:lncRNA from 1 species